UACGUAGGUCCCGAGCGUUGUCCGGAUUUAUUGGGCGUAAAGCGAGCGCAGGUGGUUUAUUAAGUCUGGUGUAAAAGGCAGUGGCUCAACCAUUGUAUGCAUUGGAAACUGGCGGGCUGGAGUGCCGGAGAGGUAAGCGGAAUUCCUAGUGUAGCGGUGAAAUGCGUAGAUAUUAGGAGGAACACCAGUGGCGAAGGCGGCUUACUGGACGGCAACUGACGCUGAGGCUCGAAAGCGUGGGGAGCAAACAGG
rnacentral:rRNA from 1 species